rnacentral:rRNA from 1 species
GAUGAACGCUGGCGGCGUGCCUAAUACAUGCAAGUCGAGCGAACGGACGAGAAGCUUGCUUCUCUGAUGUUAGCGGCGGACGGGUGAGUAACACGUGGAUAACCUACCUAUAAGACUGGGAUAACUUCGGGAAACCGUAGCUAAUACCGGAUAAUAUUUUGAACCGCAUGGUUCAAAAGUGAAAGACGGUCUUGCUGUCACUUAUCGAUGGAUCCGCGCUGCAUGAGCUAGUUGGUAAGGUAACGGCUUAUCAAGGCAACGAUGCAUAGCCGACCUGAGAGGGUGAUCGGCCACACUGGAACUGAGACACGGUCCAGACUCCUACGGGAGGCAGCAGUAGGGAAUCUUCCGCAAUGGGCGAAAGCCUGACGGAGCAACGCCGCGUGAGUGAUGAAGGUCUUCGGAUCGUAAAACUCUGUUAUUAGGGAAGAACAUAUGUGUAAGUAACUGUGCACAUCUUGACGGUACCUAAUCAGAAAGCCACGGCUAACUACGUG